rnacentral:sRNA from 1 species
GAGGUUCAGUCCAUUGUCAUCAAGGUGGGAGCAUGGCAGCAUCCAGGCAUACAAUACCGGAGAAGCCAAGAGCUCCAUCUUAUUCUGAAGGCUGACAGGAGAAGACUGACUCUUAUCCCUGGGAAAGAGCUUCAGAGCCAACCCACACGGUCACAUUCUUUCUUUAACAAGGCCAAAUCUGUUGCAGAACCUUCCCCUAACGAAUAGAGAUUUCAAGGAGCCAAUCACUGGGCAAGUGUUGAUGAUGAAAACAUCUCUGCUCCCAAAUUUCUAGCACCCAUACAUCAAUUGAAGCAAGUCUGUGCAGUGAGAUAGAUGCUAUCCUGCAUCGAAGCUCAAAAGCAUAAAUUCUUCCAUCCGACAGAAGUGGUUGAGCAUCUCAAUAAUUCAGCAUCUAAGUUCAACAUGAUAUGGUCAAUCUUAUGAUGAGAAAAAGAACAUAAGAAGAGAACAUUUGAGGCCUCAGGAAGUUUAGA